UCUUGCGCAAUGGCCGCAAGGCUGACGCAGCGACGCCGCGUGGGGGAGGAAGGGCUUCGGCUCGUAAACCCCUGUUGCCCGGGACGAACCUCCCGUUUCGACGGGACUGACGGUACCGGGUGAGGAAGCACCGGCUAACUCCGUGCCAGCAGCCGCGGUAAUACGGAGGGUGCGAGCGUUGUCCGGAAUCACUGGGCGUAAAGGGCGCGUAGGCGGCGCGUCAAGCGUGUGGUGAAAGCCCGGGGCUCAACCCCGGGUCGGCCGUGCGGACUGGCGCGCUCGAGCACUGUAGGGGCGGGCGGAAUUCCGGGUGUAGCGGUGGAAUGCGUAGAGAUCCGGAAGAACACCGGUGGCGAAGGCGGCCCGCUGGGCAGGAAGACGGGGCGACCCGUCGGCUGACGCUGAGGCGCGACAGCGUGGGGAGCAAACAGG
rnacentral:rRNA from 1 species